GUGGGGAAUUUUGGUCAAUGGGGGCAACCCUGAACCAGCCAUGCCGCGUGAAGGAUGAAGGCGUUAUGCGUUGUAAACUUCUUUUGUAUGGGAAGAAUGACAGGGAUUCAUCCUUGGAGAGACGGUACCAUACGAAUAAGCACCGGCUAACUUCGUGCCAGCAGCCGCGGUAAUACGAAGGGUGCAAGCGUUAAUCGGAAUUACUGGGCGUAAAGCGCGCGUAGGUGGUUUUGUAAGUUGGAGGUGAAAUCCCCGGGCUCAACCUGGGAACUGCCUCCAAAACUGCAUGACUAGAGUACGGUAGAGGGUAGUGGAAUUUCCUGUGUAGCGGUGAAAUGCGUAGAUAUAGGAAGGAACACCAGUGGCGAAGGCGACUACCUGGACUGAUACUGACACUGAGGUGCGAAAGCGUGGGGAGCAAACAGGAUUAGAUACCCGAGUAGUCC
rnacentral:rRNA from 1 species